GCAGUCGUGGCCGAGUGGUUAAGGCGAUGGACUAGAAGUCUAAUGUGGUCUCCCCGCACAGGUUCGAAUCCUGUCGACUGCG
rnacentral:tRNA from 1 species